rnacentral:rRNA from 1 species
UGGGGAAUAUUGGACAAUGGGCGAAAGCCUGAUCCAGCAAUUCCGCGUGGGUGAAGAAGGCCUUCGGGUUGUAAAGCCCUUUAGGCAGGAAAGAAAAGCCGUAUUUGAACAAUUUACGGUCUUGACGGUACCUGCAGAAUAAGCACCGGCUAACUCUGUGCCAGCAGCCGCGGUAAUACAGAGGGUGCAAGCGUUAAUCGGAUUUACUGGGCGUAAAGCGUGCGUAGGCGGCCGCAUAAGUUGGAUGUGAAAUCCCUGGGCUUAACCUGGGAACUGCAUCCAAAACUGUGUGGCUGGAAUGUGGUAGAGGGAGGUGGAAUUCCAGGUGUAGCGGUGAAAUGCGUAGAUAUCUGGAGGAACAUCAAUGGCGAAGGCAGCCUCCUGGGCCAACAUUGACGCU